rnacentral:rRNA from 1 species
UACGGAGGGGGCUAGCGUUGUUCGGAAUUACUGGGCGUAAAGCGCACGUAGGCGGCUUUGUAAGUUAGAGGUGAAAGCCCGGGGCUCAACUCCGGAAUUGCCUUUAAGACUGCAUCGCUAGAAUUGUGGAGAGGUAAGUGGAAUUCCGAGUGUAGAGGUGAAAUUCGUAGAUAUUCGGAAGAACACCAGUGGCGAAGGCGACUUACUGGACACAUAUUGACGCUGAG